rnacentral:rRNA from 1 species
CAGUCGCCACGGUAAUACAGAGGGUGCGAGCGUUAAUCGGAUUUACUGGGCGUAAAGCGUGCGUAGGCGGCUUCUUAAGUCGGAUGUGAAAUCCCUGAGCUUAACUUAGGAAUUGCAUUCGAUACUGGGAAGCUAGAGUAUGGGAGAGGAUGGUAGAAUUCCAGGUGUAGCGGUGAAAUGCGUAGAGAUCUGGAGGAAUACCGAUGGCGAAGGCAGCCAUCUGGCCUAAUACUGACGCUGAGGUACGAAAGCAUGGGGAGCAAACAGGAUUAGAUAUCCCCGUAGUCCCUGUCUCUUAUAC